AGGAAAAGUGAAAUGAAGAAGGAAAAAACGUUUAACUUUUUAAAACGUUUAAAAUUGGGGCAACUGUUUUUGCUACAAGAAACUUCCUUUGAAGCGUUUUUUUUUUUUUUUUCCUUUUUUUUUUUUUUU
rnacentral:ribozyme from 1 species